rnacentral:rRNA from 1 species
GACGAACGCUGGCGGCGUGCUUAACACAUGCAAGUCGAGCGGUAAGGCCCUUUCGGGGGUACGACGAGCGGCGAACGGGUGAGUAACACGUGGGUGACCUGCCCUUACGCUCUGGGAUAAGCCUGGGAAACUGGGUCUAAUACCGGAUAUGACUCCAUGACGCAUGUUGUGGGGUGGAAAGCCUUGUGCGGCUAGGGAUGGGCCUGCGGCCUAUCAGCUUGUUGGUGGGGUGANGGCCUACCAAGGCGACGACGGGUAGCCGGCCUGAGAGGGCGACCGGCCACACUGGGAC